CAGUGGGGAAUUUUCCGCAAUGGGCGAAAGCCUGACGGAGCAACGCCGCGUGAGGGAGGAAGGUCAUUGGAUUGUAAACCUCUUUUCUCAAGGAAGAAGUUCUGACGGUACUUGAGGAAUCAGCCUCGGCUAACUCCGUGCCAGCAGCCGCGGUAAUACGGGGGAGGCAAGCGUUAUCCGGAAUUAUUGGGCGUAAAGCGUCCGCAGGUGGUCAGCCAAGUCUGCUGUCAAAUCAGGUUGCUUAACGACCUAAAGGCGGUGGAAACUGGCAGACUAGAGAGCAGUAGGGGUAGCAGGAAUUCCCAGUGUAGCGGUGAAAUGCGUAGAGAUUGGGAAGAACAUCGGUGGCGAAAGCGUGCUACUGGGCUGUAUCUGACACUCAGGGACGAAAGCUAGGGGAGCGAAAGGGAUUAGAUACCCCGGUAGUC
rnacentral:rRNA from 1 species